UACAGAGGGGGCAAGCGUUGUUCGGAAUUACUGGGCGUAAAGGGCGCGUAGGCGGCCUGUUAAGUCGAACGUGAAAUCCCUGGGCUCAACCCAGGAACUGCGUCCGAUACUGGCAGGCUUGAAUCCGGGAGAGGGAUGCGGAAUUCCAGGUGUAGCGGUGAAAUGCGUAGAUAUCUGGAGGAACACCGAUGGCGAAGGCAGCCCCCUGGGCUGAGAUUGACGCUCAGGCACGAAAGCGUGGGGAGCAAACAGG
rnacentral:rRNA from 1 species